rnacentral:rRNA from 1 species
GGUGAACGCUGGCGGCGUGCUUAAGACAUGCAAGUCGAACGGCAGUCUUCGGACUGCAGUGGCGCACGGGUGAGUAACGCGUAACUGACCUACCCCAAAGUCGCGGAUAACGAUUCGAAAGAAUCGCUAAUACGUGAUGUGCUGUCAGAUUGUGUUCUGCCAGUAAAGAUUGAUUGCUUUGGGAUGGGGUUGCGUUCCAUCAGCUAGUUGGUGGGGUAAAGGCCCACCAAGGCGACGACGGAUAGCCGGCCUGAGAGGGUGGCCGGCCACAGGGGCACUGAGACACGGGUCCCACUCCUACGGGAGGCAGCAGUUAAGAAUCGUCCACAAUGGGCGAAAGCCUGAUGGAGCGACGCCGCAUGAGGGAUGAAGGUCUUCGGAUCGUAAACCUCUGAAUCAGGGACGAAAGACACUUCGGUGGGAUGACGGUACCUGAGUAAUAGCACCGGCUAACUCCGUGCCAGCCGCCGCAGUAAAAC